rnacentral:rRNA from 1 species
UACGUAGGGUGCGAGCGUUGUCCGGAAUUAUUGGGCGUAAAGAGCUCGUAGGCGGUGUGUCACGUCGGCCCGUGAAAACCCGCGGCUCAACUGCGGGCCUGCAGCCGAUACGGGCAGGCUAGAGUUCGGUAGGGGAGACUGGAAUUCCUGGUGUAACGGUGAAAUGUGUUGAUAUCAGGAGGAACACCCAUGGCGAAGGCAGCAAACUGGGCAUCAACUGACGCUGAGGCGCGAAAGCGUGGGUAGCAAACGAGG